rnacentral:rRNA from 1 species
AGACCCGAAACCCGGUGAUCUAGCCAUGGGCAGGUUGAAGGUUGGGUAACACUAACUGGAGGACCGAACCGACUAAUGUUGAAAAAUUAGCGGAUGACCUGUGGCUGGGGGUGAAAGGCCAAUCAAACCGGGAGAUAGCUGGUUCUCCCCGAAAGCUAUUUAGGUAGCGCCUCGUGAAUUCAUCUCCGGGGGUAGAGCACUGUUUCGGCUAGGGGGCCAUCCCGGCUUACCAACCCGAUGCAAACUGCGAAUACCGGAGAAUGUUAUCACGGGAGACACACGGCGGGUGCUAACGUCCGUCGUGAAGAGGGAAACAACCCAGACCGCCAGCUAAGGUCCCAAAGUCAUGGUUAAGUGGGAAACGAUGUGGGAAGGCCCAGACAGCCAGGAUGUUGGCUUAGAAGCAGCCAUCAUUUAAAGAAAGCGUAAUAGCUCACUGGUCGAGUCGGCCUGCGCGGAAGAUGUAACGGGGCUAAACCAUGCACCGAAGCUGCGGCAGCGACGCUGAUGCGUU